rnacentral:lncRNA from 1 species
GGAGAAGGGGGAGGGCAGACCUUCCAUGCCUCCCGGGGCCUCCACCCUCCCGGCGUCUCAAUGUGGUCACCAACCGGGGGCUCUUUGAAUCUUGUUCAAGAGUUUUUAUAACUCAUUCUCCAGCCCCCACCGCCUCCCCUGAAGCUGCAAGUUCCCACCCUCCAUGCACAUGUUUGGUCUUUCCAAUGACCAGCGCCCAUCCUGAAGCUAUCUAGGGCCCCACCGUGAGUCACUUCGUUCGCAUAAACACAGGUGUGGUCAGAGGCGCUCCUUGUGAAUAACGAGAGACACGCCAUCACCCAGGAGAUUCUAAGGGUUUGAGGGACUCCAGGCCAGGAACCCAGGACAAAGACCAAGUGUUUUUUUAUUACACCACAACUAGCCACAUUUCCGGUGCUACCACAGUAGACAAUGCACAUUUAGAGCAAGCAGCCUGCUCACAGAAGAGCCUACAGUGGGAAGAGCUGGCGGAGGGUGAACCGCUGACGCUUCGGGAUGGAAGGAGCCUGAUGCAGUUGACUUGCCUUCAAGCGACCACAGGCACUGAAUUACUGCUGGCCACAUACCUAAGGCCUCGUGAACCUGCUCCGGCAAGGACUCCACGUCAGGCACAGCAGCUGCGAGCAGGGCUCCCCCUUGGUUAAGCCGUGGCGGUCUGCGGUCUUCCUCCAGGAUCCGUCCAAUUUCUGCAGAGGUCAGACUGGUGAGUUAAAUGAAGAAAUCAAUGGUAGGGACCACACUCCUUCAUCCUUAGUUGUUAGUCGUGGAAUUAAUUUCUACCACAG